CUCUGGCCUGCCGGGUAGGCGGAGGAAGACUCCAUUCCGCCCUGAGCUGAGCUGGGCGGGUCUGGGCGUUGGCGGGCGGUACCCGCCGGGGCGGAUUUCUUGGUUGGGUCGUUGAAAUAGGAGUCAGCGUCCCCUGAGGAACCUGUCAGUCAGAGCAGCACCUCUGGAUUUCCUCCCGGGACGUUGAAUCCUCUCACACUCGUUCUGUCCCGAGUUUUUUUCUUUGGAAAAAAUGCAAAGAAAGCCUUUCAUUCACCACGUUGGAGCAGCAGCCGAGCUUCGCUGGAAAAGAGAGUAUUAAUUUAUUCUUCUAAUGAUCUAGGCACAAAGAAACUCAAUAAAAACUCCCUGG